UACGAAGGGGGGCUAGCGUUGUUCGGAUUUACUGGGCGUAAAGCGCACGUAGGCGGUUUGUUAAGUCAGGGGUGAAAUCCCAGAGCUCAACUCUGGAACUGCCUUUGAUACUGGCAAGCUAGAGUCCGGAAGAGGUAAGUGGAACUCCUAGUGUAGAGGUGGAAUUCGUAGAUAUUAGGAAGAACACCAGUGGCGAAGGCGGCUUACUGGUCCGGAACUGACGCUGAGGUGCGAAAGCGUGGGGAGCAAACAGG
rnacentral:rRNA from 1 species